rnacentral:rRNA from 1 species
AUUGAACGCUGGCGGCAGGCCUAACACAUGCAAGUCGAACGAGUGGCGGACGGGUGCGUAAUGUCUGGGAAACUAGCUUAUGGAAGGGGAUAACUCCGGGCAACGGUAGCUAAUACCGCAUACCAUGGGAUGUGCCCACGUGGGAUUAGCUAGUUGGUGGGGUAAAGGGUCACCAAGGCGACGAUCCCUAGCUGGUCUGAGAGGCAGACCAGCCACACUGGAACUGAGACACGGCCCAGACUCCUACGGGAGGCAGCAGUGGGGAAGAUUUCGCAAUGGGGGCAAGCCUGACGCAGCAAUGCCGCGUGAAUGAAGAAGGUCUUCGGGUUGUAAAGUUCUUUAGGUAGCGAGGCGUUAACUACAGAAGAAGCACCGGCUAACUCCGUGCCAGCAGCCGCGGUAAUAC